rnacentral:rRNA from 1 species
UAGAGUUUGAUCAUGGCUCAGAUUGAACGCUGGCGGCAGGCCUAACACAUGCAAGUCGAGCGGCAGCGGGAAGUAGCUUGCUACUUUGCCGGCGAGCGGCGGACGGGUGAGUAAUGUCUGGGAAACUGCCUGAUGGAGGGGGAUAACUACUGGAAACGGUAGCUAAUACCGCAUGAUGUCGCAAGACCAAAGUGGGGGACCUUCGGGCCUCACGCCAUCGGAUGUGCCCAGAUGGGAUUAGCUAGUAGGUGGGGUAAUGGCUCACCUAGGCGACGAUCCCUAGCUGGUCUGAGAGGAUGACCAGCCACACUGGAACUGAGACACGGUCCAGACUCCUACGGGAGGCAGCAGUGGGGAAUAUUGCACAAUGGGCGCAAGCCUGAUGCAGCCAUGCCGCGUGUGUGAAGAAGGCCUUAGGGUUGUAAAGCACUUUCAGCGAGGAGGAAGGCAUUGUAGUUAAUAGCUGCAACGAUUGACGUUACUCGCAGAAGAAGCACCGGCUAACUCCGUGCCAGCAGCCGCGGUAAUACGGAGGGUGCAAGCGUUAAUCGGAAUUACUGGGCGUAAAGCGCACGCAGGCGGUUUGUUAAGUCAGAUGUGAAAUCCCCGAGCUUAACUUGGGAACUGCAUUUGAAACUGGCAAGCUAGAGUCUUGUAGAGGGGGGUAGAAUUCCAGGUGUAGCGGUGAAAUGCGUAGAGAUCUGGAGGAAUACCGGUGGCGAAGGCGGCCCCCUGGACAAAGACUGACGCUCAGGUGCGAAAGCGUGGGGAGCAAACAGG